rnacentral:rRNA from 1 species
UACGUAGGGGGGCAAGCGUUGUCCGGAUUUAUUGGGCGUAAAGAGCGUGUAGGCGGCUAGGUAGGUCCGUUGUGAAAACUCGAGGCUCAACCUCGAGCUGUCGAUGGAAACCAUCUGGCUAGAGUCCGGAAGAGGAGAGUGGAAUUCCUGGUGUAGCGGUGAAAUGCGCAGAUAUCAGGAAGAACACCAAUGGCGAAGGCAGCUCUCUGGGACGGUACUGACGCUGAGACACGAAAGCCAGGGGAGCGAACGGG